rnacentral:rRNA from 1 species
UACGAAGGGAGCUAGCGUUGUUCGGAAUCACUGGGCGUAAAGCGCACGUAGGCGGAUUUGCCAGUCAGGGGUGAAAUCCCGGGGCUCAACCUCGGAACUGCCUUUGAUACAGCAAGUCUUGAGUUCGAGAGAGGUGGGUGGAAUUCCUAGUGUAGAGGUGAAAUUCGUAGAUAUUGGGAAGAACACCGGUGGCGAAGGCGGCCAUCUGGACCGAUACUGACGCUGAGGCGCGAAAGCGUGGGGAGCAAACAGG